rnacentral:misc_RNA from 1 species
CAGCUGAAGGCCCACACUGGGCUAGCACGUUGGUCUGACAUACAGCCUGCCUAGCCCCCCUUUACGUUCUCCUCUGCGCGUUCGAGAGCUUUCCGAGACCCUCACCCCAAACGAAAAAAAAAGGAAGAGAAAGCACUCGUGCCUCAGCAGUGCGAAAAGGAAAGUAAGUAGGCAAGAUAUGCCGGCAACGGCAUUCGAUGUACUAUUUCCUGUCCUUGGAGUUUCCCGUACCCGUUCCAGUUUUCUCCGUCUCGUAGUACCAGAGACAAACGGAACCUCCUCCUCGCUCAGCAGUCGGGGGAGGAGAAGGGGAAGAGGGAGCACGUUCAGUGGAUGUGGUGCAUCGCGCUGUGUCCGCCAUACCCCCUUUUGCGUUAUCGGGGGACGUGCAGCGUUGCACUCUCACUCGCUCGGCAAAAUGCUCAUUGGCUGUGUGUGUGUGUGUGCAUAGGCCACCCAGGCAGCUUUCUUGAUUAGGGUGGCGGAGAGGAGCGUCGCUUUGUGGCGUAGCCCCGCCCUCUGCCACACAGACGCACACUCAUCUCUGCCCCACAUGCCCUCGAAACCCUCUUUUUGUUCCCUUCUCGCUUCUCUUCUGCGGAUCACGGGUCUCUCGCUCGCAUCCCGCGUGCUGUCUUCAAG